UACAGAGGUCUCAAGCGUUGUUCGGAUUCAUUGGGCGUAAAGGGUGCGUAGGCGGCGCGGUAAGUCGGGUGUGAAAUCUCGGAGCUUAACUCCGAAACUGCAUUCGAUACUACCGUGCUUGAGGACUGGAGAGGAGACUGGAAUUUACGGUGUAGCGGUGAAAUGCGUAGAUAUCGUAAGGAAGACCAGUGGCGAAGGCGGGUCUCUGGACAGUUCCUGACGCUGAGGCACGAAGGCCAGGGGAGCAAACGGG
rnacentral:rRNA from 1 species